rnacentral:rRNA from 1 species
CAUGCCCAGAGGACGUGGAUAACCUCGGGAAACUGAGGAUAAACCGCGAUAGGUCAUAAUUACUGGAAUGUGUUAUGGCCCAAAUCUAUAUGGCCUCUGGAUUGGACUGCGGCCGAUCAGGCUGUUGGUGAGGUAAUGGCCCACCAAACCUUUUACCGGUACGGGCUCUGAGAGGAGGAGCCCGGAGAUGGGCACUGAGACAAGGGCCCAGGCCCUAUGGGGCGCAGCAGGCGCGAAACCUCUGCAAUAGGCGAAAGCCUGACAGGGUUACUCUGAGUGAUUCCCGCUAAGGGAAUCUUUUGGCAUCUCUAAAAAUGGUGCAGAAUAAGGGGUGGGCAAGUCUGGUGUCAGCCGCCGCGGUAAUACCAGCACCCCGAGUGGUCGGGACGAUUAUUGGGCCUAAAGCAUCCGUAGCCGGUCUUGCAAGUCUUCCGUUAAAUCCAGCUGCUUAACAGAUGGGCUGCGGAGGAUACUACAAGGCUAGGAGGCGGGAGAGGCAAGCGGUACUCAGUGGGUAGGGGUAAAAUCCUCUGAUCCAUUGAAGACCACCAGUGGCGAAGGCGGCUUGCCAGAACGCGCUCGACGGUGAGGGAUGAAAGCUGGGGGAGCAAACCGG